rnacentral:ribozyme from 1 species
UGAAGAAAGUUCUGUGAAAGGGUUGGAUCCGACGCCUCUAGAAGGCUACUAUAGGCUCUCCUUCUCAACUCCUACUCAAUACGUCCACG